rnacentral:rRNA from 1 species
ACUCCUACGGGAGGCAGCAGUGGGGAAUUCUGCGCAAUGGGGGAAACCCUGACGCAGCAACGCCGCGUGAGUGAUGAAGGCCCUUGGGUCGUAAAGCUCUGACAGAGGGAAAGAAAUGCGGGGUGGCUAAUAUCCAUCUUGCUUGACGGUACCCUCAAAGGAAGCACCGGCUAACUCCGUGCCAGCAGCCGCGGUAAUACGGGGGGUGCAAGCGUUGUUCGGAUUUAUUGGGCGUAAAGCGCGUGUAGGCGGUUUCUUAAGUCUGAUGUGAAAGCCCUGGGCUCAGCCUGGGAAGUGCAUUGGAUACUGGAAGACUUGAAUACGGGAGAGGGCAGUGGAAUUCCUGGUGUAGGAGUGAAAUCCGUAGAUAUCAGGAGGAACACCGGUGGCGAAGGCGGCUGCCUGGACCGAUAUUGACGCUGAGACGCGAAAGCGUGGGUAGCAAACAGGAUUAGAUACCCUGGUAGUCCACGCCGUAAACGAUGAGAACUAGGUGUUGCGGGUA